AGAUGGAGAAGGUACCAAGAGGUACUAAGGUACUAAACUAUUUGGACGACAAUGUAGACAUUACAAACGAUAAAUUUGUUGCGGCAGAUGGUGCCAAAUUUCGUGAAGAAAAGUGGAAAGAACUGGCGGUGAGCCUUAAUGGUCUUGGUGGCACUCAAAAGGAUGGUGCAAAAUGAAAGAAAAAAUAUAGUGCGAUAAGGCAGGCAGAGCAGAGAAGCGGCAUAAAUGGUUUCAGCCGGGCCAAAGCAUUGUCAACGCUGGAAUUUCUUGCAUUUUCCAGUUCUGCAUGAAAUUAAAAAAAUGAAUUCUUGUGGUUUCUGCUGCCGAAUGACCAUAUUUUUAUAGAAAAAUAAGAAAAAUGUGGCAUGGAAAGUAUAAAUAAAUAAAAACGUCGAAACG